rfam:Myotis brandtii contig157462, whole genome shotgun sequence.
GGCGGUUCUCAGGUGAUGCACCCUGGAAUCGGGCUCCCUCGGCUCUGGUUCCGGGUGUGUCACCCAAGAACCACA